UUCCGUAGGUGAACCUGCGGAGGGAUCAUUACACAAAUAUGAAGGCGGGCUGGAACCUCUCGGGGUUACAGCCUUGCUGAAUUAUUCACCCUUGUCUUUUGCGUACUUCUUGUUUCCUUGGUGGGUUCGCCCACCACUAGGACAAACAUAAACCUUUUGUAAUUGCAAUCAGCGUCAGUAACAAAUUAAUAAUUACAACUUUCAACAACGGAUCUCUUGGUUCUGGCAUCGAUGAAGAACGCAGCGAAAUGCGAUAAGUAGUGUGAAUUGCAGAAUUCAGUGAAUCAUCGAAUCUUUGAACGCACAUUGCGCCCUUUGGUAUUCCAAAGGGCAUGCCUGUUCGAGCGUCAUUUGUACCCUCAAGCUUUGCUUGGUGUUGGGCGUCUUGUCUCUAGCUUUGCUGGAGACUCGCCUUAAAGUAAUUGGCAGCCGGCCUACUGGUUUCGGAGCGCAGCACAAGUCGCACUCUCUAUCAGCAAAGGUCUAGCAUCCAUUAAGCCUUUUUUUCAACUUUGACCUCGGAUCAGGUAGGGAUACCCGCUGAACUUAAGCAUAUCAAUAAGCGGAGG
rnacentral:rRNA from 1 species